GGGGGCGAAACGGUCUCGACUGGAAAGGUAGAACGCAGGCUGCAUGCGGAGGAUGAUCGUUGGCCUCCUUAAUCAUCGGUCAAAAAAGUAACUGCGAACACUGAGUACGCACUCGCGGCCUAGUCCGUGACGUCUCCUCCGGGAUGCCUGAUAACGGUUGAGGCGCAAGCAUCAGGCUGGCCAGGAGCCCCGGGCAGGCGGGGGAAACCAGCGAGAAAGAACAGCACGCUGCUUCCAUCGAAGGAUGCCCGGCACCAAAGCGAUGGACUAAGAGCAAAGCCCGGGAUAAGCAUGUAGACGCUUGCGCGACGUCUCUUCAGGACCGGGGUUCAACUCCCCGCGCCUCCACCA
rnacentral:tmRNA from 1 species